GAUGAACGCUGGCGGCGUGCCUAAUACAUGCAAGUCGAGCGAACAGACGAGGAGCUUGCUCCUUUGACGUUAGCGGCGGACGGGUGAGUAACACGUGGGUAACCUACCUAUAAGACUGGGAUAACUUCGGGAAACCGGAGCUAAUACCGGAUAAUAUUUCGAACCGCAUGGUUCGAUAGUGAAAGAUGGCUUUGCUAUCACUUAUAGAUGGACCUGCGCCGUAUUAGCUAGUUGGUAAGGUAACGGCUUACAAAGGCAACGAUACGUAGCCGACCUGAGAGGGUGAUCGGCCACACUGGAACUGAGACACGGUCCAGACUCCUACGGGAGGCAGCAGUCGGGAAUCUUCCGCAAUGGGCGAAAGCCUGACGGAGCAACGCCGCGUGAGUGAUGAUGGUCUUCGGAUCGUAAAACUCUGUUAUUAGGGAAGAACAAACGUGUAAGUAACUGUGCACGUCUUGACGGUACCUAAUCAGAAAGCCACGGCUAACUACGUG
rnacentral:rRNA from 1 species